rnacentral:other from 1 species
AUUGAUCUAAGGUGUGCGUGUUUUCUUUUAUGUGCUGACCGAACACUUAUCACAUUGGGAUCUGCGAAUUCUAGUGGAAACUAAGCCUUUUCAUGAGGACAGUUGAAGCUGGAUACUGGAACCCACCUGCUACAUGCGGGUUCAGACAGAUAAGACUUCUCACGGCACCAUUGGAGAGAUA